AGAAAAAUAGGUUAAAAUUAAACCUUUACCGUUCAAAGGUAAAAAUAGAAUAGUCUUUUUUCUC
rnacentral:tRNA from 1 species